rnacentral:rRNA from 1 species
ACGGGUGCGUAACGCGUGGGAAUCUGCCCUUUGGUUCGGAAUAACAGCUGGAAACGGCUGCUAAUACCGGAUGAUGACGAAAGUCCAAAGAUUUAUCGCCAGAGGAUGAGCCCGCGUUGGAUUAGGUAGUUGGUGGGGUAAAGGCCUACCAAGCCGACGAUCCAUAGCUGGUCUGAGAGGAUGAUCAGCCACACUGGGACUGAGACACGGCCCAGACUCCUACGGGAGGCAGCAGUGGGGAAUAUUGGACAAUGGGCGAAAGCCUGAUCCAGCAAUGCCGCGUGAGUGAUGAAGGCCCUAGGGUUGUAAAGCUCUUUUACCCGGGAAGAUAAUGACUGUACCGGGAGAAUAAGCCCCGGCUAACUCCGUGCCAGCAGCCGCGGUAAUACGGAGGGGGCUAGCGUUGUUCGGAAUUACUGGGCGUAAAGCGCACGUAGGCGGCUUUGUAAGUCAGAGGUGAAAGCCUGGAGCUCAACUCCAGAACUGCCUUUGAGACUGCAUCGCUUGAAUCCAGGAGAGGUCAGUGGAAUUCCGAGUGUAGAGGUGAAAUUCGUAGA